AGGAUGGAGACUCUGGACCCCUUGAGAACAUCCCAGACAUUGAUGGUAUAAUCAUUGUAUCCAGCAAACAGCAGGCGACCUCAAAGUAGAAGGACAUGAUGGUUAUUGAACCAGUUCCUCCCUUUGUUUUUCUUUUCAUGACUUUCACUGACUCACUCAUGCAGUCACUUGACCAUUCAUUCAUUCAUUCAUUCAACAGUGAUUUAGUGCCCGCUAUGUGCCAGGCACUGUGCUUUGCCCUGGGGAUUCAGAGAAGUUGCUGCCCCUUGUGGAUGGUGGUGGUGGUGGUAGGCAGGCAGGCAGGCAGACAAACACCUAAAUUAACACAUGGUAGCACUAGAUGAUAAGGGCUGUAAUGGAAGUGCUUAGCUGUUUGUGAAGUGUUGUGUGACCAUGGAGGAAGGGGGAUCAAGGAGGGCACUGCAGAGGAAGGACAUGAGUUGGCUCAUGAGGGCUGAGUAGGAGUUCACCAGGCAGAGAAGGGAGGCAAAAGAUACCGUAGGCAGCAUAGCAGCAUGCAUGCAUAAAAGCACGGAUGCAGAAUGGGGGCUGUGUCUGGGGAAACUGAAUGGUCCUAUCAGUGCUGCUCUUUCACUAGCAGCCUCCCCAGCAGUGAGGUCAGAGGAGCCAUGAGCUUCGGGGCAUUGAGAAAGGGACUGCUGCUUCACCCCCUCCACCUCUGAAGGUAUGAAGGGGAGAAUGGAAGGCGGAGGAGGAAAUGACUAAUUAAAGGCACUACAGAUAGGAAGUUUCAUACAGCAUUGUCUCAAAGAACAGCAUUAGGUGGGCAUAGCCUUCAUCUCCCUUAAAAUGAACAGGAUAGGGGAGGCCAUUUCAGGUAGGGUGAGGUGGGGUGCGGGGUCGUGGAAGAAAACUGGUGCAGAUGUAGAUUGCUUAACACACUGGUUCAUAGGAAGUUCAGCUGAAAGCUGGAUCGAGAGCUGGGUUUCAUUUAGGUCCUGCCUUACAGUCCCGGGAAUGUUUCUGAAAUAAAAUCUUACCACUGAGGGAGAAGUCCACACUGGAUGCUCCAAAUAUGAUACUCUCUUUGGAAUAGAUGGCGACCUCCCUGUCUGCCCGGAGGUCGUAGAGGCGACACUGGUGUGACAAAGAAGAUAAAGAAGCACUUAUUUCUGGCUCUGGGUUGGUGAAGAGAUGACCACAGGGCUAUAUGCAGGUGCUGGUGGCUUGUGUAGUUUGAGGGAUAAGGGAAAUAUCUCCAGUUUUCUCCCCUAGUAGUUUCUCCCUUAAUGCUGAUUCCUAAUAAUCUGCAUGGAUCAGUACAGAUUCAAAGAAACAGCAAAUACAGAAGACUUUUGGGGUACAAAAGCAAAAAUGAAACCCUUCUUUUUUUCUGAUAAAGGAUACAUAUUCAUUGUAGAAAAUACAGAAAAAUGCAGAAAUGCCUAAAGAAGGAAAUAAAAACCACCCAAAUCCUGGAAGUAUUUACUAACAUCUAGGCUAUUUCCUUCAGUCUUAUUUCCAUUUUGUGUGUGUAUUUAAAUGGAAUGGAUAUCUCAUAAUUCUAUUAACAUUAGGUUAUGAGUUUUUUUUUUCUCAUAUCAUUAAAUAAUCUUCAAAACCACAUGACUAACAUGGUUGUUGCAUAUUCCUCAUGUGGAUAUAUCAGAAUAUGUUUAGCCAGGCCUUUUGAUUGUUAUCUAAUUUUUCUCUUUUAUAAAUAAAAGGUUAAUGACCAUUCUUUUUUUUUUUUAAGUUUAUUUUUGAGAGAGAGAGAGAGAGAGAGAGAGAGAGAGACAGGCGCGGAGAGAGAAUGCACGAGCAGGGGAGAGGCAGGGAGAAUCCCAAGCAGGCUCUGCACUGUUAACAAGGAGCCCCAUGUGGGGUUCAAAGUCACAAACUGUGAGAUCAUGACCUGAGCAGAAAUCAAGAGUUGGAUGCUUAACCACCUGAGCUACCCAGGUGCCCCUUGAUGAUCAUUCUUCUGUAAAAAUCUUUGUGCACAUCUCUGAUGUUUCCCUUACAAUAGUUAAGGAAUAGAGUCCUUAGAAUAAAACUGUUUCCAAGAAAUAGUAUGACCAGAUCAAAGGGUAGAGAUGUUACAAAAGGUCUUGAUUUGUAUGGCAAAACUGUCCUCUGUAAGGGUGGUACCAAUGGUCCUAACUCCAGGCUCCUUUACCACAUCACCUCCACGAUGCAGCAUUUCACUGCUAAUCCAAAUGAGCAAUGAUCACUUAAACUUGCAUGUAUUGGGUUACAGGUGGUCUGAAAACGUUUUCAGGUGCUUGCCAUGUCGGAUUUACUGCUUUGUAAACAGUCUGCAUUGUAUCCUCUUUUUUUAAAAUUAGGGUAUUGUCUUACUGAUUAUGCAACCCCAUUUAUAUCUAAUAGAUUUCAAUUUGGUCUGUCAUAUAGGUGGCAAGAAUUUUUCCUAGAUGUAUGCCCUUAUAAUUUGUUACACAUUUUUUGGCAUAUGGAAGUUUUAAAUCUUUAUUAUUAUUAAAACAUUCAAUCUACCCCUUUGUACUUUCUUCCAUAGGACCAAAUUAAGAUGAAACUCACUAUAAUAUAAUAAGAUAUUACAUAUUUUGAGGGCACCAAAGGCAACUUUUUUGUCUAGAAAAAUAGGUCAACAUAACUUGACAGUAUCAAAAGCCUUAAAAGUAGGUCUAUUUUUGACUUAGCAAGUUCAUGUCUGGGAAUUAAUUAUAAGGAAAUAAUAAGUACCAAAAAUAUUUACUUAUAGCAGCGUUUUUUAACAGAAAACGAAAUCCCUGAAAGACCUAAAUGUCCAAAAAUUGACUAGUUAAGUACAGUAUAGCAUGUCCAUAACAUGGAACACUAUUCAAUCACUAAGAAAAUAUAAUGUAGAAAAGUUAAUUACUGACACACGAAAGUGUUCACAGUCUAUUGCUAAAUGAAAAAAGCAAAUUAUAAAGCACUUUGUUAAAAAAUAAGAAAGACAGAAAGGAAUUCACCCAACUGUGAUUUUUCUUGGGUUAGGAGAUUAAGAUAUUUGAAUCCCCCUUCCAACUUUUCCUCAAUGAAUUCACAUUACUACUGUAAUAAAAAAAAGUUUUUUUGAAAAAUAAAAUUAAACCACUGCAUCUCUCUCUCAAAUAGGAAAAGCUCUCUAACUUGGAAACAUACCGUAGCAUCAUCUGAUCCUGAAGCAAAGGCAUCUCCACUUGGGUAGUAUCUGUAGAGACAAAGUUUGAGUAGAAAGCACUUUAUUUAGAGUGGUGAUUCCCAAUUCUUUUUUUUUUUUUUUAUCUUAUUUUUAGAGAGGGAGAGACAGCGUGCGAGCGGGGGAGGUCUAGAGAGAGAGAGGGAGACACAGAAUCCAAAGCAGGCUCCAGGCUCCGAGCUGUCAGCACAGAGCUGGACGUGGGGCUCAAACGCAUGGACAGUGAGAUCAUGGCCUGAGCCAAAGUUGGACGCCCAACUGACUGAGCCACCCAGGCACCCCUGGUGAUUCCCAAUUCUGAAUGUCCAUCAGAAUCAUCUGGAAGUCAUCUGAAAGGUUGCUCCAUGUGAAGCCAAUGGAAUUGGAAUCAGAAUCUCCACUUCUAGGGACACAAGGACCACUCUUUACAGAGGCCAGAAAGGGAAGCUCAUCUGGCUGGCCUACUGACCUCUAGUUUUCUUCCCUAUAAGUAGGGGACAGUGACAAUGGCCUUGCACAGUGUGGGUGAGGAGUAACUGACAUAAUACGUGUGUCUGCACCAGGCAGUGAACACAGAACAGGCCCCCUGUAACCGUAGUUUCCGUUGAUCACACACCUCAUUCCUGGGACUUGGGUCAGCUCAGAGAUAAGAAAGUGAUUAUCCACACAGAUGCUGGAAUCAGAUACCCAGAGCCUUGCUCAGAUCUAUGCAAUGAUCCCUUGCUACAUGUGAUACCUCUGGCAAAGGACUUCAUCUCGCCCAGCCUCAGUUUCCUCAUUUGAAAAGUGAGGAUGAUAAUGCAUUUUCCCUGUUGUGGAGAUUCAAUAAGAUAGUAUUGGCAAAGAACUGAGCAUGGUGCCAAAUAAAAAGCAUUCAGCAAAUGAUGGUUAUUAAUGUUACACUCAUUGCCUUCUCAGUAAUCAGCCUUCCUGGGGAGAAGGAAGUUUAAAUUGAGACCUAAUGGAUAUUAGAGGAAGAGAUGUCAGGGUAGGGGGAACAGCAUGGGUGAGAGAAUGCGCAUUUUAAAGCUUUAUUUUGUGAAUAUGUAAUGACUCAAUUUAUUUUGUGGCUUUAUAUUCUAUCCUGCAUCUUACCAACUUCAUUUACUAUCUGUAUUAGAUUUCUAUGAUUUUCUAGGUAAUUACUGCACAUUUGCCAAAAGUAAGUGUCUUUCCCCUUUAUCUCUAUCCUAUAGUUGAGGGCAAAGAGCUAGAAAAUUCUUGCAAACAUUUCUAUUGCUCACGUAAAUGAGCACUGUUAUCUUGUUCUUGCUUUUUAGGAGAACAAGUCUAGUGCUUUCUCACUAAGUAUAAUGAAGAUUCUUGGGUGAUUAUAUUUCAAAUACCGUCUUGACAGUGCCAUCUUCCAAAUUUACAUGUCAAGUCCUCACCUCUCUCUUGGGAUCCAGUUCAUAGAUCCCUACCUACUCAAUGUCUCCACUUCAUUGUAUACAGGCAUCUCAAAUGUAAAUAUCCCCAAACAGAGCUCCAUCAUCCAUGUGCAAUGACUGACUCAUACCUGCACUUCCUCCAGUCUUCCCUGUCUUAGUAAAUGGAUCACUGCUUACUGACCCUUAUAAAAGGUUUGGGUUCCCAAGCUCAGGGUUCUUCUCCUGUAAUGCAACCCCUGGCCUGUGCAGGUGUCAUCUGGCCCUCUCCAUUUCACCCUGUGGAAUUGGGGCUCAGGAAACCAGCAUCAAAAAUGCUGAUACCCUGGCUGAUGCCAUUGCUAGGAGUAAUAAUACACUGUCCUUCAUCUUGCACUCAGGAGUCUCAUGUCUUCUACCAGCAUGCUUGAAACUGUGGCAGCCUAAAUUGAUAGCUUGCAGCCAGGGUAAAAUCUCAGAAAUGUCACAAUUCUGGACCUUUCUGUCUCCACAAUGUCUUCUUUACUUCCAGCCACCAUCACCUCUUCCUUGAACUCACACAACAACUUUCUAAUUGGCCGUAGUACUUCCAUUCUUGCUUCCCUACAAUCUCUUCUCCAAACAGCAGCCAGAGUGAUCUCUUAAAGGCAAAACAGAGGCAAUGUCAGCCACCCCCUACCUGGCCUGUGGUUAAGUCCUCCACAUCUCAUCUUACCACCCCAGCUCAAGCCUUGGCUCUUUCAAACAUCACUUUCUCAGAGAGGUCUUCCCUGAUCAUCCUAAGUAAUAACCCAUCCCAUCCCAUCUGCCUAUUUUACUUUUCUCAUAACACACUUACCACUACCUGAAAUUAAGUUGUACAUUUGUUUAUUUGUAUUUGUCUUGCCUCCUGCAGGGAAGCAGAGACCUUGUCUCUGGAACAAUGUCUAGCAUGUAAGUCUCAAUAAAUAUUUGCUGAAUAAAUGAAUGGGAAAUACUGACUGUUUAGGGAGGAUACUAUCAGUUGCUCCUACUGCCAUUAAAUUAAAAAUAUCCAAGCGAUCUGGCACGCUGUUCAGUGCCACCACAAAUCAGCCAUUCUUGCUGGAGAGACCUCUCUCAGCCAGGUAAACUGAGUCUGGAGGUGGUUCCUGGGCUGAGCAGGAACCCCAGGCCAGGGAUUACCAGCAGAACAGAGAAGUUAUGUGAACAUUCUACUCACUGACCGGACACUGUUGAUGUCGGAUUCGUGUGUUUCAAAGGCCUGCACGCACUGGCCAGAGCGCAUGUCCCACACCAUGGCUUUCUUGUCACAUCCCUACAAAUGCAAAGUUAUCCAGAGUUAUGGCCACUGCAAGGACUGUCUACAGAUGGGCAUGAAUUCCUGUUAUGUAACAGAGCCAUUUCCUUUCCAUUGGUAAAUGGCUGACAACAUGCUUUUCUGAGACUAGCUUUCCUCAACUGAUAAGCCCUUAGAAAGCCAGAACCAGGUCUUGAGAGUGUGGGGGGAGCAAAGGAAGGCACCCAGAUUUCUCUUUCAGCAUGUUUUCUUCUUUUGCACCUUCCCAAGUUGGUGUAAACCCUCCAGAGCCUCCUUCUUGCUUUCCUCCUGGGCAUUUCUCUCUUUGUUCUGUUUUCCCCUUCCUCCUUCCUCUUUAUCUCUGCCUCUCAGCCCAGGGGGAGGGCAGGCAUACAGUGGGUGCACAGUGGGACCACCCAGCUUCAUCUCAGGUGUAUGGGGCAGCCCUGAGCAAAGGUGGAGCUGGGCCGUCUAUACCUCUGCAGCAUGCUGCUGGAGUCAUGACCUUGCCAGCAGUUAGUUGGGUAUCUCUAGCAACUCACCAUCCUGGGCUUCUGCCUCAAUACCUGUAAACACUCUCUCUGGGUUGCCAACAUGACCCAGAGAUUCAUAAACAUGAGGUUUUCACAUUAUACUAUCAUGGUUCUAGGAGCAUUUGACAAAUUCCUGCAGAGCAACCCUGUUAUCAAGCUUGGGUAGUACAAUGUAGACUGUCAAUGGCCAAAUAAUAAGUAAUGGCUUAAAGUUGGUAUUUAAGUUGCUGGUUUCAACUCAGAGAAAAGAGUGCGAUGAAGUACCAGAACUGGCAUCUCAGGAAUACCCACUGUGGGGGUUCAGCACUCUGAUUAUCUUUAAUGAGAAUGUGGGCAAAGCAAUCAGGAGUGUCUUCCAAUCUUUUGAGGACACUAAACCAGAGGGAGUUUACUGCCCUGAGACAAUAUAAUCUACAGUGAUACAACAAUUUGAAAAGACAGUGUAGUUGAGGAGGGAUAAAUAUAGUUAUUUAAAGGCACAGAAAUGAAACAUACACAGUUGGGGCCAAAUACCCAAAAAGAAAAUGGGGUCCCUGCCGAUUACAGGCCUCACAGCCCUUACCUGAUGCCCCGUGCUAACACACGGGCAGCUUGGAGCAAAGCGCCCUUAUGUCUUCCAGCUACAAACACCAUGCAGUGGUGUGUCCAGCACUGUCCUCUCUCACCAGUGUCCUGACUAAAGUGAGACAGGACCUGAGGCAGGUUGGCCUGCUCAGUUCUCUGUUCUUAUUCGCCCCUGACGUAUGUAUAACACAUGGUCAACUCUUCCACCUACUGCUCAUCUAGGAGAACAUUCCAGAUCCCUCUGUAGACUGAAUGUCAGCAGCAGGAGACCCUCACAGCCCAGCACUGUCACUGCCCCCCAAGCAGUGCCAGUGCUGUGGGAGACAGGGGUGUGGAAGUGAGCUGAGGACAAUUCCUGCAGCCCCUUCUAGAGAAGUGUCUGAUCCAGUCCCCAAAAUUGCCAGCAUAAGCCUCCCGUGGAGAAAAGGGCCCCUAGGGAUUUUCCUUGGGUGUUUACCCCAGACACGAAGGUGUUGCCUGUUUCUGAGGGGGCCAGGUCCAAGCAGAGCACAUCCGCCCCGUGCCCAUGGAAACUCUGCAGCAGCUGUCCGCUCUCCACGUCCCACAGGGCACAUGUGCCAUCGCCGCUCGCCGUCAGGAUCUGUCCACAGAAAAGGACAGGAAGAGCGUUGUUAUUAUGACUUCUGUCAGGGGAAGUCAAUCAGAUGCUUACAGCUGGAUGGGGGGUGGGUGGAGGGGGGAAGGAGCCUCCUUGAACACACACGGACACAUGCCUCGCUAUAUGUGGAUUCAAGCAUAGAAAUAUUUCUCCUAUACUGCGGGGAAAAAAGGUCAUUUUUGACAGUCUCAGUGUCUUUGAGAUGUGUGUUUAUGCACCCUCCAGAGCAGGAAAUUCGGAAGGCCUCCGCGCUGUAUCUGCAGGGCUGUGUGCCUGCUGGCAUGCAGGAAGUGCUCCGUGAGUAGCUGUAGAACAGCACUUGGAGCGCCUCCCACAAGCAGGCCGGAUGCUCCAACUGCUUCUCAGACACCAACUGCUCCCCAGCCACCGUGAUGCAGGUUGAUUUGCACUGAGGGGGGGUGUUGAGAACCACAGUUCUCACAAAAUCUGAGGUCAUACCAAUGCUAAUCACUGGACCCCACCCGGAGCAGCCAGGGUCAGGCAGCAUUUUCUUAGACACAUUCUCCUGUGGCUGCUUCUUUCCAGAGCAGGGUGCUGCCCAAGAAGGUCCUAGGGCCACUGAUGAGGCCACACUCAUGCACUCACGGAUUCAACAAGCAUUAGCUGUGUGCUUAUGACGUCCAGGUGCUGUGUUAACAGGCAUUGAUCAGGGUUUGCACAAAGAUUAUAUUUUGGUCUCUGCUCUCCUGGAGCUCAGUUCAACAGACUUGGCCAUAAGAACUGACACCAAACUAAUUCCCUACCCCUGGGGUAAACAAUUCUGAGACCAGGAAGACUUUCCCUGGGCUAUGUUCGACAAUACUGACACCAAGUAAAAACAACCUAGCUGCUUGCUUCAGGAAAUACCUGCUCCUGCAAGAUAAGACUGUAAACCAACUCAACAACUUAUUUAUCAAGACUAACAGCUUGCUCAACAAGACUCACUUCAAGACUCUUACUUUGUGGGGCUCACCAAAGCUAUCAAUGUUAUAACCAGUCUCCUACCUGGAGAGACCCACCUUAAAAUCACCCCGCUUGGACCCCAAAACUCUCCAAGUGUCCUUCCCUGAUUUCUUCAUUUUGAGAUGCUAUGGAGAUUUUGUCAACUUGGGGUUCUCCCUUGCUGCACUACGUCUAAUAAGCUUGACAAUGGUGGAUAGCAAGUUUUUCCGAGGAUCUCGGCAGACAAGAUGAUGAGGACUCACAAUGGAGUGAGAAGUGCUGAGGUACAGGCAGGCCCAUGGGAGGGGCAAUCAACCCAUUCUGGCAACAUCUGAGCUGAUCUUCAAGGAUGAGUGAGAGCUGACCAGGUGAAGGGGAGGGGACGGAGGGCAUGCAGGUGAAGGCCUAUCUCUGCACCAAAGGAGAGGUAUGCCUGGUAUAGAGUGAGGACUUCAGCCUGUAGGCCAGACCGAGCUGUGGGAAGCAAGAGGGUAAGAUCAAAGGCAUAUUUUAGGGAAAUUUGUCUAAGACCAGUGCUGCACCCCUCAAGCAGCGUCUGAUAAGUGUACUUACAAGUACACAGGCCGGCCUGUACUGCGAGAGGAACCCUGCAGUACCUGGGGGGAGGGGUGUUAGGGUUUUAACUUUCGUCACAGCCAGUGAGUGUGAGGCUUGGGCUCUAGCUGAGCAUAGCCUCGUGUGGCUGGGAGAAAGGCAGCAGAGAUCCCAGGAUCACAGCCUCUCAGACCCAGCUGCCCAUACUGCAGGGCCCGGGGAAGCUUGUCCUGAGCAGCCAAAGGUUGGGGGAUCCACAAGGGCUAAGCUCUGGAUAGCACAGCCUCCCAAGCCCUACCUUCCUGCUGCUCCCAGGGCCUGAAUGAGGUGACAAGACAACACAGGAAGUGGCUCUUGCAGUGAAAGUGCCCACAUAGAGAGCCCUCUGUGGGUGGAAAUUGCUGAUGGCUGAGGAAAGCAAAUGGGCUCCAGGCUUUAGGAACUGCCAGCAUACAGUGCACCCACUGACCGCACUGCACCCCCAAAUUCCUUCUGCUGGUGGUGUUUUCGCCUCCUCUCCUUGCUUCCUGUUCUCUUCCCUUUUCUCUUAUACCCUGGGCCUAGCACUUAAAAAGAAAUUGUAGUUUAUAUACACAAUGGAAUACUACUUGGCAAUGAGAAAGAAUGAAAUGUGGCCUUUUGUAGCAACGUGGACGGAACUGGAGAGUGUUAUGCCAAAUGAAAUAAGUCAUACAGAGAAAGACAGAAUACCAUAUGUUUUCACUCUUAUGUGGAUCCUGAGAAACUUGACAGAAGACCAUGGGGGAGGGGAAGGAAAAAAAAAAAAGAGAAGGAGGGAGCCAAAUCAUAAGAUACUCUUAAAAACUGAGAAUAAACUGAGGGUUGAUGGGGUGGUGGGAGGGAGGGGAGGGUGGAUGAGGGGAGGGUGGGCAUUGAGGAGGGCACCUGUCGGGAUGAGCACUGGGUGUUGUAUGGAAACCAAUUUGACAAUAAAUUUUGUUAAAAAAAAAAAGAGUAUCUUUACUCUGCAAUUAGGAGAGGAGCAGAAUCUAUUCCCACCCUAGCCUUGCACCCUCCAGCUGUACUAUCUCGGAGCGCGUUUCCUGCCAGGCAGUGUGGGGAGGCCUAGAAUCUCCUUGCAGCCAGAAGUCACUUCGGAGCUCUUCCCGGGAGCAAGAGCUGGGUGGGUUCUGAGAGUUCAAGUUUCUUGGGUGUGGCCUCCAAGGCCCUCAUCAGAGCUCCCACUCAGGGACAGCUCUCAAAUUUGGGGAAUCUCCAAGGCUGCCAAGCCCCUGUAGCUGUCCACGGGACUCAAUCCUCCUUGGCUUCCUUUACGAGGCCCAGGUACACCCGACAAGAUGACAUAGGCUCAUAAAAGUAACUUAUGAGCACACAAGACUUGUGGUCUUAAGACUGGGUCUAAGACCCAGGGUCUUAAUUUGGGUACUUACAUGUACAAUAUGCUACAAUUCCCUUUCAUCCCUCCUGGCCCACAUCCAUUCCUGUCCUAUAGGAAAGGGCCAAUAACCUUCAUCUUCUUUGGGACAUCCCAACAAUCUGCUUUAAACAAUUACCUCACUCUAGCUCUUUAAUUUGGGAAUUUUCGAUACCAUAUUCUUCAAUCAAAGAAAUGAAUAGUUUUUUAAAAGUUAGGAGUAAAUCCUUAAUAGUAAAAAAAAAUAUUUAAAAAUACUUUUAUUAUGUUUGUGAUCUUCAUUAUAAGUAAAAAUAGAAUUUAAAAGC
rnacentral:lncRNA from 1 species